AUCAGCUCCUGCCUCCAAGUUCCUGUCCUGUGAAUAGAAACCCUGACGAAGACACUAGUCUCAUUCUUGGGAGUUCCACAACAUAAUCGCAGUCUAGUUCUCCAAGUGCCUACCUCCUAGGACCAUCUAAGGAGAGUCAAGACUUCAACAUUUGAAUUUAGAGGAAAGAAUGCAAAGGCUCUGGCCACAGCAUGAUGGAGAUACUAGGUCCCUUCAGGUUCUUCUAGAACCACGUCUACCAUGGGCAGCCAUUGAUUGAUAAGGACAGCAUUCAACUCGUCUGGGACUCUGGCUUUCAAAUCUCAGUCUGGAAAAUGAACGCAAUCAUUUUCAGAAUUUCCUGGUUUGAUCGGCCCCCGACAGGUCUCUGAUGGAAGAGCCAGGGAGUUAAUCCCACGGGGGAUUAGCAAAAGGUUUGGGAUCAUUUAGAUAAAGAGAUAUGAUGUGCUGGCUAACUUCCCCUUCUCUGGAUGAACAUCUGUCAUGUCAUGUUCCAUUUGGCACCUGCUCCUGUCUGUGAUCAAAUAUUCUAUAAUUUCUCAGAGCAGCAGAACGGCCACCCUUGGUUCUCUGGGGCUUGGAAGGUGACACAACACAGGUGGAGAAAGGAAAUAAUAACGCAUUUGAUGUCAGCAGGGCCAGCUCCUCGAGGUUUGAUCUUAGUCACAGGGCCAGCCAAAGCCUCCUCUCAAGGACAAAGAAAUCCUAAGGAGUGAGCCACUUACAGCUACUUGGAGGAAGAGGCUCUGAAAAGGACAGUCACCCAUGCCCAAGGACUUCAGCACUGGGACAUUGGUCUGCUGCUGCUGCUGCCGCCGUGGCUCUAGCUACGCAUGGCUGAUUUUGCCAUGAAAUCGUGGGAACGUCCUGCUCAAAGAUGGAGGAAUUUCACAAACCACAUCUAUGACUUUUUCUUUUGGGUCAGAUCUAGGCUGUUUUGCUUCCAUCAAUUUAAUAACUUAACAGAAAAUAAAAAAGAAUUAAAAAAAAAAGGCUCAGCGCAGUGGUACGUGUCUGUAAUCUCAAGAGUCAGGAGGUAGAGACCUGCAGACUUUGAGUUCAAGGUUAGCCUGAGCUAAGUAUUGAGUUUCAGGGCAGCCUGGACUACAUAGAGAGACACUUCUUGCAAAACAAACAAAUGAACAAAUGAACGGAAGCCCUACCAAUUAUUUAGCACUAUACAGAUACCACAAUCUGCUACCUGAGUUCUAGGUCACUCUCAACACUUCUUGGAUAAAAU